rnacentral:rRNA from 1 species
UACGUAGGGUGCGAGCGUUAAUCGGAAUUACUGGGCGUAAAGCGUGCGCAGGCGGUUGUGCAAGACAGAUGUGAAAUCCCCCGGGCUUAACCUGGGAAUGGCAUUUGUGACUGCACGGCUAGAGUGUGUCAGAGGGGGGUAGAAUUCCACGUGUAGCAGUGAAAUGCGUAGAUAUGUGGAGGAAUACCGAUGGCGAAGGCAGCCCCCUGGGAUAACACUGACGCUCAUGCACGAAAGCGUGGGGAGCAAACAGG